AUUUUCUUAAUUAAAAGGAUUUAUGAAGUAUUUAUGCUUCAAAAGUUCAUGUCUAUUUUGGUGAUGAGAAUUCAAUCUAUUUUGUUCCUUUAUGCUACUUCGCAUGUACUGUGGUCAUGAAGUGUGCAGGUUGUUAUUUACUUGCAUGUCAAGAUUCGUUUUAGUUUGAGUCCAUUACUAUGUUUCCUAUUGUUACAGUCUGUGAAUGUUAAAACACCUAUUCUGACAAAUCGGAUGUGCCUCUGCAGUUAUACAGCACUGUGACAUUGCGUUAAGGGAGAGAAGAAGCAUCACAAUAACAAGGUUGAUGUUUAUAGCUUUGGGAUUGUCUUGCGGAAGCUGUUUACUAACUGCAUGCCAUUUGAAGGCAUAUACAAUUUACAGGCUGCAUAUGCUGCUGCUUUCAAGGAGUUGGCAGGCAUAUCGAUUAGAGUCUCUGUGUUGGGAUCUAAACCUAGACAGCAAGAGAACUAUGCUUGCUCCUCCAUUUUCUCCUCAUAUUAAGCAAUCAUUCACAAAAUCACUGCCACUAUUGAAGAACAAUAGCUGAAGAAAAUUGUACAUUCCCUUCUGCAUUAUGGAGGAAGAAAGAUCAAACUAAAUGAAGACCAAAAAAAACAAAACAGAACGAGAGAAUGGACGCAAACAAUAAUGCUACUACAUCCAACGGAGAGUUAAUUCAAUGUCAAGAUAUUUCCACGAAGACAGUCUCCAAUGGAGGAAUGAUUUAAGGGUUCAUCUUGGCCUUUAUUUUAAGCAAUGUUGUGCAUCACUAUCUCAACUCUCAAGUCUCUUUCACAACUGAACAUGGAGCAUUCCUGAGAACCUGUUGCAAAAGAGUACUAGCAUCAAUGGGAACAAGUCCUACUGUGCAACAAUUGAUAGUUUAUCUAUUGUGCAAAUAAAUAGACCUAGAUCAGUUCUUGCAAGAAGCACAAUACCGCUGGCUUCGUCUGGUUGAAAUGUGUAAAAUACUCCAGAACUACCAAAGGUUCCAGUUGAGUCAUGAUCCACCUAACAGGCCUGCAGGUGAGGUUAUUACUGGAUCAUUUCUUCCCC